CUUCACAUAACAACACAAUCAAAUCAAAGCGUAUUUGUUGAAAGAGAGAUGCUUGGAGUUGAAAGGCAGUCGUCAAUCGAGAAUGAACCUCGUACGCUCAAUAAUGAUCAGAUCGAUUUCGCCAGGGAAGCAGCUCUUUAUGUGGUGAAUACAAGCAGCAGCAUCCAGGAAGCUCUCACCAUCUUUACUCAGGUUGUAUACAGUGAUUUUUAUUUUUUAUUGUGUCUAAAUUUAACUUUUGCAGCUUUAAAAUUUGACUAAAUUAUUGAUUUAUUCUGAUUUUGUAAUUAAAUUAAUGAAUAUUUAUGAUUUUAUAAUAAAUCACGAUUUUGGUACUAGUAUACUUUGACGACGUUGUUCCGUGAAAUUAUCAGACGGCAAUCAAACGACGUUUAUGAUUUAGGUGACAAUAACAAUAUCGUAUUAUACCAGAUUAAAUCAUUCCCUCUGUUGAAUUAUGAUUUAUAUUAAAACCAGAAGUUGUCUAAUUUAGGGAUUUAUAUUAAAACUAGAAGUUGUCGAACUCUAUGGGAUGUUCAAAAAAGUAAAACUAGUCUAUAUUUUUUGUAGACACAGAUAGUACCAUGAAAAAACAAUUUGACUAAAUUUAGGAAUCUACAUGCAAACGUCUCUUAUUUUUAUUUGUUCUUUUGCCAAAUAUUAGCUUUAUGGUUAACUACCUCUUGAAAAAAAGAUGUUGUGUAUGUUGAAUUUGCACUCAUGUUUACGCCGACUUGAAAAUGAUCUUUACUUAUCGUGUAUAUAUAUAUCUAUAUAUAUAUAUAGGGGGACCUUAUUCUCCUUUUCCCAUCUUACAUCCUUUUUCCUUCUUAAUAAUACCCGUUAGAUCUAGGGAAUCGACGGAUCGGAUUGUUUUAAUAAAUUUACCUCCGUGUUGCAUUAUAGACGUUGGCUUAAUGCAUUACAGGGGUAAUUUGGCCAUUUGACAGAUGCUGAACCGCCAUAUCUUGGAAUAUGCUAAUUUCACGGGAUUUCAAAAGCUCCUAUUCUCCUUCUUUCCUCAUUCAUUACGCCCACAACCCUUACAACUAGUUCCACUCUCUCCACUACCCAAACCCUAGAAAUCUACCUCCCCAGCGGCGCGUUUGGAGAUUUUGGAUUUUGUCGACCAAAUUUUCGGAGGGAAUUAGCUUUCAACGCUGAAAUCGACUCGGAAACACCGACUACUUUCUAAUAGAUCGAAAAUGCCGAAGAGGGGUCGUCCGCUAUCGCAAGUAACAGAGGCUGCAGAGAAGCGAGUAAGAUCUGAACUCGACGAUGCAGUUGAUGAUUUAAUUCCGGUAGCGUUGGCACAAAAGUUGAGGGAUCGGUUGGCAGCUGCUGCCCCUAGUAGCUCAGCAGGUGAUGUUCAACAGACACAAGUUAAGGGAAGAAAGACUGAUCGUCUUUUCUGCAGGCGCACACCGUCGGAGUUUCUGAACUGCUUGAAGCAGUUAAAUCCAAGACAGCUUGUAGUGCUUGAUGGUUUCUGGUAUUUGUUGGAAGACUUAGCACUUUAGAUCUUUUUACAAACUUGAAUACACUUAACAAUGUUUUUGAGACUAGUCUUUCUGAUUUUGAUCUUGUGAACAAUCAGCCUAACCGUAUGUUCAUCGUGAUUAUUCAGACGGCUAAGAAUACUUAGUGUGUAAUUGGUGUAUUAUGUUAUUUGUCUUGUUUGUAUUAUGUUUUUUGUCUGUAUAGUUGGCCGAUUAACUCUCGUAAUGCUUAACAUAUGCCGAAUAA